ACACAGAGGGUGCAAGCGUUAUUCGGAAUUACUGGGCGUAAAGCGCGCGUAGGCGGAUGAUUAAGUCAGUUGUGAAAGCCCUGGGCUCAACCUAGGAACUGCAUCUGAUACUGGUCGUCUAGAGAUUAAGAGAGGGAAGUGGAAUUCCAGGUGUAGCAGUGAAAUGCGUAGAUAUCUGGAGGAACAUCAGUGGCGAAGGCGACUUCCUGGCUUAAAACUGACGCUGAGGUGCGAAAGCGUGGGUAGCGAACGGGAUUAGAUACCCCAGUAGUCCC
rnacentral:rRNA from 1 species